GGUUCCAUAGUGUAGUGGUCAGCACGUCUGUUUUACAUGCAGAAGGUCCUGGGUUCGUGGCCCAGUGGAGCCA
rnacentral:tRNA from 1 species